AGUCACUGACAUUAGAUACCCGGGUAGUCCCAGCCGUAAACUAUGCGCGUUAGGUGUACUGGUGACCACGAGUCACCGGGGUGCCGAAGGGAAACCGUGAAACGUGCCGCCUGGGAAGUACGGUCGCAAGGCUGAAACUUAAAGGAAUUGGCGGGGGAGCACCGCAACGGGAGGAGCGUGCGGUUUAAUUGGAUUCAACACCGUAAACUCACCAGGGAAGACUGUUACAUGAAGGCCGAGAUGAAGACUCUGCUAGAUUUUCAG
rnacentral:rRNA from 1 species